CAGGCUGCUGCAACUGUUUAUUAAAAACACAGCACUCUGCAAACACGAAAGUGGACGUAUAGGGUGUGAUGCCUGCCCGGUGCUGGAAGGUUAAUUGAUGGGGUUAGCGUAUGCGAAGCUCUUGAUCGAAGCCCCAGUAAACGGCGGCCGUAACUAUAACGGUCCUAAGGUAGCGAAAUUCCUUGUCGGGUAAGUUCCGACCUGCACGAAUGGCAUAAUGAUGGCAGCGCUGUCUCCAGCAGAGACUCAGUGAAAUCGAAAUCGCAGUGAAGAUGCUGUGUACCCGCGGCUAGACGGUAAGACCCCGUGAACCUUUACUACAGCUUUACAUUGAACUUUGACCUAACUUGUGUAGGAUAGGUGGGAGGCUUUGAAGCAGAUACGCCAGUAUUUGUGGAGCCAACCUUGAAAUACCACCCUGGUUAUGUUGGGGUUCUAACUUAGGAUUAACAAAUCCAAGGACAAUGUAUGGUGGGUAGUUUGACUGGGGCGGUCUCCUCCUAAAGAGUAACGGAGGAGUACGAAGGUGCGCUCAGAACGGUCGGAAAUCGUUCAAAGAGUAUAAAGGCAAAAGCGCGCUUAACUGCGAGACCCACAAGUCGAGCAGGUACGAAAGUAGGUCUUAGUGAUCCGGUGGUUCUGUAUGGAAGGGCCAUCGCUCAACGGAUAAAAGGUACUCUGGGGAUAACAGGCUGAUACCGCCCAAGAGUUCAUAUCGACGGCGGUGUUUGGCACCUCGAUGUCGGCUCAUCUCAUCCUGGGGCUGAAGCAGGUCCCAAGGGUAUGGCUGUUCGCCAUUUAAAGAGGUACGCGAGCUGGGUUUAGAACGUCGUGAGACAGUUCGGUCCCUAUCUACCGUGGGCGUUGGAAAUUUGAGAGGAUCUGCUCCUAGUACGAGAGGACCAGAGUGGACGAACCUCUGGUGUUUCGGUUG
rnacentral:rRNA from 1 species